rnacentral:rRNA from 1 species
UCCUCCAAGGCUAAAUACUCCUGACUGACCGAUAGUGAACCAGUACCGUGAGGGAAAGGCGAAAAGAACCCCGGCGAGGGGAGUGAAAAAGAACCUGAAACCGUGUACGUACAAGCAGUAGGAGCCCCACCACCAAAGCGUUUCGCUUUGCGUGGUGCGCAAAAUGCGUAACGACAGCGCGAUGGACGGUUAACGGAGCGUAAGCGACGUUCAACAUCAAAAAUCAGGCAGUGGAGCGUUUUGGGGUGGGGUGACUGCGUACCUUUUGUAUAAUGGGUCAGCGACUUAUAUUCUGUAGCAAGGUUAACCGUAUAGGGGAGCCGCAGGGAAACCGAGUCUUAACUGGGCGUUAAGUUGCAGGGUAUAGACCCGAAA